rnacentral:rRNA from 1 species
GAUGAACGCUGGCGGCGUGCUUAACACAUGCAAGUCGAACGGAAAGGCCCCUGCUUGCAGGGGUACUCGAGUGGCGAACGGGUGAGUAACACGUGGGUGAUCUGCCCUGCACUUCGGGAUAAGCCUGGGACACUGGGUCUAAUCCCGGAUAGGACGAUGGUUUGGAUGCCAUUGUGGAAAGUUUUUCGGUGUGGGAUGAGCUCGGGGCCUAUCAGCUUGUUGGUGGGGUAAUGGCCUACCAAGGCGUCGACGGGUAGCCGGCCUGAGAGGGUGGACGGCCACAUUGGGACUGGGAUGCGGCCCAGACUCCUACGGGAGGCAGCAGUGGAGAAGGUUACACAAGGGGCGCAAGCCUGAUGCAGCGACGCCGCGUGGGGGAUGACGGCCUGCGGGUUGUAAACUCCUUUCGCUAGGGACGAAGCGCAAGUGACGGUACCUGGAGAAGAAGCACCGGCUAACUACGUG